rnacentral:rRNA from 1 species
CAAUAGCGUAUAUUAAAGUUGUUGCAGUUAAAAGGCUCGUAGUCGAACUUCUGACUUUUCAAACAUAGCCCUCUAUCUAGUAUAGAGCGUGUUACUGUCUGUGAGUCAUCUAUUUGGUUAACACUCCUGCUCUUGAUUGAGUUUGGUGUGCAAUCCAGAUCAUUUACUGUGAGUAAAUCAGAGUGUUCAAAGCAGGCUCACGCCCUGAAUGCUAUAGCAUGGAAUAAUACUAUAGGACUUUGUUUCUAUUUAUUGGCUUCUAGAAUCAAAGUAAUGAUUGAAAGAGGUAGUUGGGGGUGCUAGUAUUUAACGGUCAGCGGUGAAAUGCGUAGACCCGUUAAAGACUAACUAAUGCGAAAGCAUUCACCAAGGAUAUUUUCUUUGA